rnacentral:rRNA from 1 species
GUGGGUAGCGGAGAAAUUCCAAUCGAACCUGGAGAUAGCUGGUUCUCCCCGAAAUAGCUUUAGGGCUAGCCUUAAGUGUAAGAGUCUUGGAGGUAGAGCACUGAUUGGACUAGGGGUCCUCAUCGGAUUACCGAAUUCAGUCAAACUCCGAAUGCCAAUGACUUAUCCUUAGGAGUCAGACUGCGAGUGAUAAGAUCCGUAGUCAAAAGGGAAACAGCCCAGACCGCCAGCUAAGGUCCCAAAGUGUGUAUUAAGUGGAAAAGGAUGUGGAGUUGCUUAGACAACUAGGAUGUUGGCUUAGAAGCAGCCACCAUUUAAAGAGUGCGUAAUAGCUCACUAGUCGAGUGACUCUGCGCCGAAAAUGUACCGGGGCUAAAUACACCACCGAAGCUGCGGAUUGAUACCAAUGGUAUCAGUGGUAGGGGAGCGUUCUAAGGACAGUGAAGUCAGACCGGAAGGACUGGUGGAGUGCUUAGAAGUGAGAAUGCCGGUAUGAGUAGCGAAAGACGGGUGAGAAUCCCGUCCACCGAAUGCCUAAGGUUUCCUGAGGAAGGCUCGUCCGCUCAGGGUUAGUCAGGACCUAAGCCGAGGCCGACAGGCGUAGGCGAUGGACAACAGGUUGAUAUUCCUGUACCACCUCUUUAUCGUUUGAGCAAUGGAGGGACGCAGAAGGAUAGAAGAAGCGUGCGAUUGGUUGUGCACGUCCAAGCAGUUAGGCUGAUAAGUAGGCAAAUCCGCUUAUCGUGAAGGCUGAGCUGUGAUGGGGAAGCUCCUUAUGGAGCGAAGUCUUUGAUUCCCCGCUGCCAAGAAAAGCUUCUAGCGAGAUAAAAGGUGCCUGUACCGCAAACCGACACAGGUAGGCGAGGAGAGAAUCCUAAGGUGUGCGAGAGAACUCUGGUUAAGGAACUCGGCAAAAUGACCCCGUAACUUCGGGAGAAGGGGUGCUUUCUUAACGGAAAGCCGCAGUGAAUAGGCCCAAGCGACUGUUUAGCAAAAACACAGCUCUCUGCGAAGCCGUAAGGCGAAGUAUAGGGGGUGACACCUGCCCGGUGCUGGAAGGUUAAGGAGAGGGGUUAGCGUAAGCGAAGCUCUGAACUGAAGCCCCAGUAAACGGCGGCCGUAACUAUAACGGUCCUAAGGUAGCGAAAUUCCUUGUCGGGUAAGUUCCGACCCGCACGAAAGGUGUAACGAUUUGGGCACUGUCUCAACCAGAGACUCGGUGAAAUUAUAGUACCUGUGAAGAUGCAGGUUACCCGCGACAGGACGGAAAGACCCCGUGGAGCUUUACUGUAGCCUGAUAUUGAAUUUUGGUACAGUUUGUACAGGAUAGGCGGGAGCCUUUGAAACCGGAGCGCUAGCUUCGGUGGAGGCGCUGGUGGGAUACCGCCCUGACUGUAUUGAAAUUCUAACCUACGGGUCUUAUCGACCCGGGAGACAGUGUCAGGUGGGCAGUUUGACUGGGGCGGUCGCCUCCUAAAGUGUAACGGAGGCGCCCAAAGGUUCCCUCAGAAUGGUUGGAAAUCAUUCGUAGAGUGCAAAGGCAUAAGGGAGCUUGACUGCGAGACCUACAAGUCGAGCAGGGACGAAAGUCGGGCUUAGUGAUCCGGUGGUUCCGCAUGGAAGGGCCAUCGCUCAACGGAUAAAAGCUACCCCGGGGAUAACAGGCUUAUCUCCCCCAAGAGUCCACAUCGACGGGGAGGUUUGGCACCUCGAUGUCGGCUCAUCGCAUCCUGGGGCUGUAGUCGGUCCCAAGGGUUGGGCUGUUCGCCCAUUAAAGCGGUACGCGAGCUGGGUUCAGAACGUCGUGAGACAGUUCGGUCCCUAUCCGUCGUGGGCGUAGGAAAUUUGAGAGGAGCUGUCCUUAGUACGAGAGGACCGGGAUGGACGCACCGCUGGUGUACCAGUUGUUCUGCCAAGGGCAUAGCUGGGUAGCUAUGUGCGGAAGGGAUAAGUGCUGAAAGCAUCUAAGCAUGAAGCCCCCCUCAAGAUGAGAUUUCCCAUAGCGUAAGCUAGUAAGAUCCCUGAAAGAUGAUCAGGUUGAUAGGUUCGAGGUGGAAGCAUGGUGACAUGUGGAGCUGACGAAUACUAAUAGAUCGAGGACUUAACCAUAUAA